CUCAUGGAGUUUUUAUUAAAUGAUUUGUCACACGGAUAUGUCUUCUGUAUAAUACAAUCCCCGAUGGUAUUUAUCGAAGGUAUGAUCCAGGAUAACGGACUUGGUUUCAAUACUAAGUCCAUGUGCAACUUUUAGGUCGCAUUGGUGAUCCUAGUUAACCAACAUUAUGGUGUUCUUUUCAAGACAUGCUUUAUGGUUUAUUUUGUCUUACAUCCGAGGAUAAGAUGGUCACCUGGAAGGGAAUGUGGGCAAAGUUUCCAGGAAUGUUUCUUGGGCACUUUACUCCAAUGGAGAUUUUUGUCACAGACAUGAUCUGGUCCAUCUUUUUGGAUGAUUAAAAACCGGAAACAUCUGAGAUCUAUCUUGAACAUCAUUGGUGGGGUUUAAAAGGUAGGGUUUUUUCAGACAGUCUGUACCUGCCUGGAUUGAUAACUAUUCAAGGAGAACACCCUGCUGACUUUUGGCAAUAUUUCACCAACCAGGGCGGACUCUAACCGAGACUUAUGCUGAGGGACCACUGCUGUAUAUGGUAGAAGGGUCUUUGGACCUUCUGACGCGCCUGUUUUUAUUUUAUGUUUGUGAGUGCAAUAUUAUCUCCCUUUUUAUUCCAUUUGUGCGUGGUUUUAUGCUAUGCUGUUUUUCUUUAUUUUUUAUUCAAGUGAUUAAAUACCUGAAGAGGUUUAUCUUUAUCCUGAAUGCUGUAUUUAUACUUUCAACAAGAAGUAUUUUCUAAAGUAUGUAUACCAAGUUUUAAAUUUAGUGUGAUCACACACUAUAUAAGUUUGUUCAUUACGAUGCACCACACUCACUUUUUUUUUUGUUUGAAAAUACAAUAUACAAAGAAUAAAAAAUAAAGCACUGCUAAAUUUGGUUGUUGUGGUUAAACAGACAGUUGAAAAAUUUUGAAAUACUUCAUAGUUAAUAGGCCAAGUUAUCUUCUUUUGCAAAUGGUAUGAUAAGGUACAUUUAGAGACUACGAUUUUGUCUUAAAGUGGCACGUGAGCAGUAAAUCAGCUGGUGAAAAGAAGAAAUCCAGAAAUGAAAUUGGUAUGUCUGUAAUUUGACGCUUAUACGGAGACUUCUAAACGCAUUGGCACACUGGGCAGUUGCCUGGGGCCCCACAAGCAUAGGGGCCCCAUAGGCUUGCUAUCUUUUCAUUAUAUUAUUCCAGGAUAUUUAUUCAAAAC